rnacentral:rRNA from 1 species
AGUGAACGCUGGCGGUAGGCCUAACACAUGCAAGUCGAACGGCAGCACAGUAAGAGCUUGCUCUUACGGGUGGCGAGUGGCGGACGGGUGAGGAAUACAUCGGAAUCUACUUUUUCGUGGGGGAUAACGUAGGGAAACUUACGCUAAUACCGCAUACGACCUACGGGUGAAAGCAGGGGAUCUUCGGACCUUGCGCGAUUGAAUGAGCCGAUGUCGGAUUAGCUAGUUGGCGGGGUAAAGGCCCACCAAGGCGACGAUCCGUAGCUGGUCUGAGAGGAUGGUCAGGCCAACUGGAACUGGGGCAAGGGCCAGACUCCUACGGGAGGCAGCAGGGGGGAAUAUUGGACAAUGGGGCGAAGGCUGGUCCAGGCAAAACGGGGUGGGGAAGGAGGCCUUCGGGUUGGUAAGGCCUUUUGUUGGGAAAGAAAAGCAGCAGGUUAAUACCCCGCUGUUCUGACGGUACCCAAAGAAUAAGCACCGGCUAACUUCGUG